UUGAGCGAUUUACUUCGGUAAAGAGCGGCGGACGGGUGAGUAACGCGUGGGUAACCUACCCUGUACACACGGAUAACAUACCGAAAGGUAUGCUAAUACGGGAUAAUAUAUUUGAGAGGCAUCUCUUAAAUAUCAAAGGUGAGCCAGUACAGGAUGGACCCGCGUCUGAUUAGCUAGUUGGUAAGGUAACGGCUUACCAAGGCGACGAUCAGUAGCCGACCUGAGAGGGUGAUCGGCCACAUUGGAACUGAGACACGGUCCAAACUCCUACGGGAGGCAGCAGUGGGGAAUAUUGCACAAUGGGCGAAAGCCUGAUGCAGCAACGCCGCGUGAGUGAUGAAGGCCUUCGGGUCGUAAAACUCUGUCCUCAAGGAAGAUAAUGACGGUACUUGAGGAGGAAGCCCCGGCUAACUACGUGCCAGCAGCCGCGGUAAUACGUAGGGGGCUAGCGUUAUCCGGAUUUACUGGGCGUAAAGGGUGCG
rnacentral:rRNA from 1 species